rnacentral:pre_miRNA from 1 species
UGCUUAAGAGAACUCUUUACAGAUCAUGUUAAGUGGAAUUUGAUAACAGAUUGCACUCAAUAUGGUCAGAUUAGCUUUCUCUCAACAGCA